GAUGAACGCUGGCGGCGUGCCUAAUACAUGCAAGUCGAGCGAACAGACGAGGAGCUUGCUCCUCUGACGUUAGCGGCGGACGGGUGAGUAACACGUGGAUAACCUACCUAUAAGACUGGGAUAACUUCGGGAGACCGGAGCUAAUACCGGAUAAUAUAUUGAACCGCAUGGUUCAACAGUGAAAGACGGUUCUGCUGUCACUUAUAGAUGGAUCCGCGCCGCAUUAGCUAGUUGGUAAGGUAACGGCUUACCAAGGCAACGAUGCGUAGCCGACCUGAGAGGGUGAUCGGCCACACUGGAACUGAGACACGGUCCAGACUCCUACGGGAGGCAGCAGUAGGGAAUCUUCCGCAAUGGGCGAAAGCCUGACGGAGCAACGCCGCGUGAGUGAUGAAGGUCUUCGGAUCGUAAAACUCUGUUAUUAGGGAAGAACAAAUGUGUAAGUAACUAUGCACGUCUUGACGGUACCUAAUCAGAAAGCCACGGCUAACUACGUGCCAGCCGCCGCCGUAA
rnacentral:rRNA from 1 species